rnacentral:rRNA from 1 species
UCCAGACUCCUACGGGAGGCAGCAGUGGGGAAUAUUGCACAAUGGGGGGAACCCUGAUGCAGCGACGCCGCGUGGGUGAAGGAGUAUUUCGGUAUGUAAAGUCCUAUCAGCAGGGAAGAACAAUGACGGUACCUGACUAAGAAGCACCGGCUAAAUACGUGCCAGCAGCCGCGGUAAUACGUAUGGUGCAAGCGUUAUCCGGAUUUACUGGGUGUAAAGGGAGCGCAGGCGGCGCGUUAAGCCUGGUGUGAAGGCCCGCGGCCCAACCGCGGGACUGCAUUGGGAACUGGCGCGCUGGAGUGCCGGAGGGGUAGGCGGAAUUCCUAGUGUAGCGGUGAAAUGCGUAGAUAUCAGGAGGAACACCGGCGGCGAAGGCGGCCUGCUGGACCGUAACUGACGUUGAGGCUCGAAAGCGUGGGGAGCAAACAGGAUUAGAUACCCCCGUAA